AGAGUUUGAUCAUGGCUCAGAUUGAACGCUGGCGGCAUGCCUUACACAUGCAAGUCGAACGGCAGCACGGGAGCAAUCCUGGUGGCGAGUGGCGAACGGGUGAGUAAUACAUCGGAACGUGCCCAAUCGUGGGGGAUAACGCAGCGAAAGCUGUGCUAAUACCGCAUACGAUCUACGGAUGAAAGCAGGGGACCGCAAGNNCUUGCGCGAAUGGAGCGGCCGAUGGCAGAUUAGGUAGUUGGUGAGGUAAAGGCUCACCAAGCCUUCGAUCUGUAGCUGGUCUGAGAGGACGACCAGCCACACUGGGACUGAGACACGGCCCAGACUCCUACGGGAGGCAGCAGUGGGGAAUUUUGGACAAUGGGCGCAAGCCUGAUCCAGCCAUGCCGCGUGCAGGAUGAAGGCCUUCGGGUUGUAAACUGCUUUUGUACGGAACGAAACGGCUCUUUCUAAUAAAGAGGGCUAAUGACGGUACCGUAAGAAUAAGCACCGGCUAACUACGUGCCAGCAGCCGCGGUAAUACGUAGGGUGCAAGCGUUAAUCGGAAUUACUGGGCGUAAAGCGUGCGCAGGCGGUGAUGUAAGACAGUUGUGAAAUCCCCGGGCUCAACCUGGGAACUGCAUCUGUGACUGCAUCGCUGGAGUGCGGCAGAGGGGGAUGGAAUUCCGCGUGUAGCAGUGAAAUGCGUAGAUAUGCGGAGGAACACCGAUGGCGAAGGCAAUCCCUGGGCCUGCACUGACGCUCAUGCACGAAAGCGUGGGGAGCAAACAGGAUUAGAUACCCUAGUAGUCC
rnacentral:rRNA from 1 species